CCUAUACACACAAAACAAUAUAUUACUUAGGUUCUCAAAAUUCAUCCACUAAAAGUACUCCAAUAUUGUGUAUUAAUUUAAGCGCCACUGCUUUCCAUCAGAACGUAUGGGAGAUUGUUAUCAAAUAUCUUAUCUGCACAUUUCUUUGUGUAUGAUGACUGGCAUUUAAAUCCUGCCACCCCUGUAGACCAGGGUUCAGGUGUAGCCUGAUCUUAAUGACACGGGUACAGUGAUCAGCCCCAUACCCAUAUGAGUGAUGCUGUGUCUCCGCAGGUGGUGACGCUGAUAAAACCUCUUGUCACACAUGGUGCAAGCGUACGGCUUCACCCCUACACACACAGAACAUCAGAUUAUUUUUUGUUUCUCACUAAGUCAAUAUUAUUAAGUUCAGUUAAAACUGUAUACUAAAAUGACUGCAUAUAAACAUCUGAUGUGCUUUAUUAGCCGGUGGUACACCAACAACUCAAAUCUGGCCUUAGUGGGUGUGAACUUACGAAGUGACGUAUUUGUAAUAGUUUGAUCUUAGCAAACCAAUUUGAGGCAUGGCUCCAAAUCAGAGACGUGUGGUGUGUUAGCGAAAUAUACAAGACCUGCAGGUUAUACAUCGUCAAAAUCUGUGGUCAAUGUGUAGCGCUUGUGGGGAAAACCAACUAUCCGAAAUAAAUAAAGGGGGAAAAGGGUCUGGUGCGUGAGUAUGUAGACCAGGGUUCAGGUGUAGCCUGAUCUUAAUGACACGGGCAUGGUGAACAGACCCAUACCCAUAUGAGUGAUGCUGUGUCUCCGCAGGUGGUGGCGCUCAUAAAACCUCUUGUCACACAUGGUGCAAGCGAACGGCUUCACCGCUGUACACAGAGAAAAUAGCGUUUUUAAAGUCUCUCUCCAUUGACUGAAGUCUUCCAAAAUUAAGCUUAGGUGUGUAUACAUUUACUUCUGAUAAACCACUGAUAUCAAAUGGUGAUGUGCUGGAAUGGUUCUCGUAUUGUACAGUUGGUGAAGUCGUAAAUAUGACACGAGUGCGUACAAUGACAUUUCAACUUGAUGGCAAAGAACCAACGUUGCUAGAUUGUCCACGUUAGCAAUGUGUCACCCCACAUUAUGGGCCAAACUAGCUACAUUACUGUAAAUGGCUUCGCUUUACCAUAUUUGGUCAAAAAGUGUCAAAUACAGGGACGAUAUGUCGCAACUCAGAAAUUCUGGUAUUUUUAUACUGGCCCAAGUUUCCCACCACUCCAACUUGGAGGGUCGUUCAAGUGGUUAUUUCCGAGUUGGGAAGUCAUAUUAUUUUAUUUCCAACAGCAAUCGAACGCACCAUAACUUCCAGGUUAUUCACCUUGAAGAAUCCGAUUACACUACCACCUCAAUAGCUUGCGGUUGUUGGGGUAUAUUUUUU